rnacentral:rRNA from 1 species
GCAUAUCAAUAAGCGGAGGAAAAGAAACCAACAGGGAUUGCCCUAGUAACGGCGAGUGAAGCGGCAACAGCUCAAAUUUGAAAUCUGGCGCAAGCCCGAGUUGUAAUUUGUAGAGGAUGCUUCUGGGCAGCGGCCGUUCUAAGUUCCUUGGAACAGGACGUCAUAGAGGGUGAGAAUCCCGUAUGUGACCGGCGCGCACCCUCCACGUAGCUCCUUCGACGAGUCGAGUUGUUUGGGAAUGCAGCUCUAAAUGGGAGGUAAAUUUCUUCUAAAGCUAAAUACCGGCCAGAGACCGAUAGCGCACAAGUAGAGUGAUCGAAAGAUGAAAAGCACUUUGGAAAGAGAGUUAAAAAGCACGUGAAAUUGUUGAAAGGGAAGCGCUUGCAACCAGACUCCGCGGCGGUGUUCCGCCGGUCUUCUGACCGGUCCACUCGCCGCCGUGGGGCCAUCAUCGUCUGGGGCCGUCGGAUAAGACCGUAGGAAUGUGGCUCCCUCGGGAGUGUUAUAGCCUGCGGUGAUGCGACGCGCCCCGGGCGAGGUCCGCG